GGUUAAGUUACAAAGGGCGCACGGUGGAUGCCUUGGCACUAGGAGCCGAUGAAGGACGGAACUAAUACCGAUAUGCUUCGGGGAGCUAUAAGUAAGCUUUGAUCCGGAGAUUUCCGAAUGGGGGAACCCAGUACACAUCAGUGUAUUGCCUGCAAGUGAAUACAUAGCUUGUUGGCGGCAGACGCGGGGAACUGAAACAUCUCAGUACCCGCAGGAAGAGAAAGAAAACUCGAUUCCCAUAGUAGCGGCGAGCGAAGUGGGAAGAGCCCAAACCGAGAAGCUUGCUUCUCGGGGUUGUAGGACUGGACAUUGGAGUUACCAAAGUUCGACGUAGUCGAAGUCAGCUGGAAAGCUGCGCCAUAGAAGGUGAAAGCCCUGUAAACGAAACGGCGGACUCUCCGUCCAGGAUCCUGAGUACGGCGGAACACGUGAAAUUCCGUCGGAAUCCGGGAGGACCAUCUCCCAAGGCUAAAUACUCCCUAGUGACCGAUAGUGAACCAGUACCGUGAGGGAAAGGUGAAAAGCACCCCGGAAGGGGAGUGAAACAGUUCCUGAAACCGUGUGCCUACAAUUAGUCAAAGCCCGUUAACGGGUAAUGGCGUGCCUUUUGUAGAAUGAACCGGCGAGUUACGUUUGCCUGCGAGGUUAAGAUGAAAAGUCGGAGCCGGAGCGAAAGCGAGUCUGAACAGGGCGCUUCAGUAGGUAGAUGUAGACCCGAAACCAAGUGACCUACCCAUGACCAGGUUGAAGGUGUGGUGAAACACACUGGAGGACCGAACCCAUGUAUGUUGAAAAAUGCUGGGAUGAGUUGUGGGUAGCGGUGAAAUUCCAAACGAACUUGGAGAUAGCUGGUUCUCUCCGAAAUAGCUUUAGGGUUAGCCUCGGAGGAUGGAUCAUGGAGGUAGAGCACUGUUUGAACUAGGGGCCCGUCAAGGGUUACUGAAUUCAGAUAAACUCCGAAUACCAUUGAUCUUACUCCGGGAGUCAGACAGUGAGCGAUAAGGUCCAUUGUCGAAAGGGGAACAGCCCAGAUCACCAGUUAAGGUCCCUAAAUUUAUGCUAAGUGGAAAAGGAUGUGGCGUUGCACAGACAACUAGGAUGUUGGCUCAGAAGCAGCCACCAUUUAAAGAGUGCGUAAUAGCUCACUAGUCGAGUGGCACUGCGCCGAAAAUAUACCGGGGCUAAGCAUAAUACCGAAACUGUGGGUGCACCCGUCAGGGUGCGCGGUAGGAGAGCGUUCUAAGGGCGUUGAAGGUCGAUCGUGAGGACGGCUGGAGCGCUUAGAAGUGAGAAUGCCGGCAUGAGUAGCGAAAGAUCAGUGAGAAUCUGAUCCACCGUAUGACUAAGGUUUCCUGGGGAAGGCUCGUCCUCCCAGGGUUAGUCGGGAUCUAAGGCGAGGCCGCAAGGCGUAGUCGAUGACAAGCAGGUUGAGAUUCCUGCACUAGUUUAUUUUGUUUAAGCGAUGGAGGGACGCAGGAGGCUAAGGAAAGCGCACGGCUGGAAAAGUGCGUCCAAGCAGUAAGUCCGGUAGCGAGUGAAAUGCUUGCCGCCUUAAGGACAAGCUGUGAUGGGGAGCGAAAUUAAAGUAGCGAAGUUCCUGAUGUCACACUGCCAAGAAAAGCUUCUAGUGAGAAAUAAACUACCCGUACCGCAAACCGACACAGGUAGUCGAGGAGAGUAUCCUCAGGUGAGCGAGCGAACUCUCGUUAAGGAACUCGGCAAAAUGACCCCGUAACUUCGGAAGAAGGGGUGCUGACCGCAAGGUCAGCCGCAGUGAAUAGGCCCAAACAACUGUUUAUCAAAAACACAGGUCUCUGCUAAAUCGUAAGAUGAUGUAUAGGGGCUGACGCCUGCCCGGUGCUGGAAGGUUAAGAGGAUGAGUUAGCGCAAGCGAAGCCCAGAAUUGAAGCCCCAGUAAACGGCGGCCGUAACUAUAACGGUCCUAAGGUAGCGAAAUUCCUUGUCGGGUAAGUUCCGACCCGCACGAAAGGCGUAAUGAUUUGGGCACUGUCUCAACGAGAGACUCGGUGAAAUUAUAGUACCCGUGAAGAUGCGGGUUACCCGCGACAGGACGGAAAGACCCCAUGGAGCUUUACUGUAGCUUGAUAUUGAGUGUUGGUACCGCUUGUACAGGAUAGGUAGGAGCCGUAGAGAUCGGAACGCUAGUUUCGAUGGAGGCAUUGGUGGGAUACUACCCUAGCUGUAUGAACACUCUAACCCGCGCCACUGAUCGUGGCGGGAGACAGUGUCAGGUAGGCAGUUUGACUGGGGCGGUCGCCUCCUAAAAUGUAACGGAGGCGCCCAAAGGUUCCCUCAGAAUGGUUGGAAAUCAUUCGCAGAGUGUAAAGGUAGAAGG
rnacentral:rRNA from 1 species